rnacentral:rRNA from 1 species
GUCGAACGCGUCCGUGGGGCAACCUGCGGAUGAGUGGCGAACGGGUGAGUAAUGCAUCGGAACGUACCCCGUAGUGGGGGAUAACGCCGCGAAAGCGGCGCUAAUACCGCAUAUGCUCUACGGAGGAAAGCAGGGGACUCGCAAGGGCCUUGUGCUAUGGGAGCGGCCGAUGCCCGAUUAGCUUGUUGGUGAGGUAAAGGCUCACCAAGGCGACGAUCGGUAGCUGGUCUGAGAGGAUGAUCAGCCACACUGGGACUGAGACACGGCCCAGACUCCUACGGGAGGCAGCAGUGGGGAAUUUUGGACAAUGGGGGCAACCCUGAUCCAGCCAUGCCGCGUGCGGGAAGAAGGCCUUCGGGUUGUAAACCGCUUUUGGUCGGGAAGAAAAGGCCACUCUUAAUACGGGUGGUUGUUGACGGUACCGGCAGAAUAAGCACCGGCUAACUACGUGCCAGCAGCCGCGGUAAUACGUAGGGUGCGAGCGUUAAUCGGAAUUACUGGGCGUAAAGCGUGCGCAGGCGGUUUGCCGUGUCCGAUGUGAAAGCCCCGGGCUUAACCUGGGAACUGCAUUGGAAACUGGCAGGCUUGAGUAUGGCAGAGGGGGGUGGAAUUCCACGUGUAGCAGUGAAAUGCGUAGAGAUGUGGAGGAACACCGAUGGCGAA